rnacentral:rRNA from 1 species
GUGCCAGCCGCCGCGGUAAUACCGGCAGCCCAAGUGAUGGCCGCUGUUAUUGGGCCUAAAGCGUCCGUAGCUGGCCGCACAAGUCCGUCGGGAAAUCCGCCCGCUCAACGGGCGGCCGUCCGGCGGAAACUGCGUGGCUUGGGACCGGAAGGCGCGACGGGUACGUCCGGGGUAGGAGUGAAAUCCCGUAAUCCUGGACGGACCGCCGAUGGCGAAAGCACGUCGCGAAGACGGAUCCGACAGUGAGGGACGAAAGCUAGGGUCUCGAACCGGAUUAGAUACCCGUGUAGUCC